AUACAUGCAUAAAAUACAUAAAAACACAUUUAAUGCCUUUACAGCGAAAAUGAUAUAGAUACCUCGCAGGAAAAUGCAUUUGCCUUUAUGAGGACCUUAUCAAGAAUGAAGCAUAUGAGCACAAAAACAUACUUGGAGAAACACAAAAAACUAUACGAGCAUAACAUAUAGAAAAAAAAAAAAAAAAAAAAAAAAAAAAGAUUAAUAAUUAUUUUAUUUUUUUUUUUUAUACCUGACAUCAUUUUCUUUUAUAUUUUUAAUUCAUUGUAAAUAUAUUGGAUUUUUUCUUUUUUAUCAUAUUAUGUUUGCUUAGAUGUAUAUAUAUAUAUAUACAUAUGUUUGCACUUUUUAAAUUUAACUUUAUAAAGAAUAUUUUUAAAAAUAUUUGUUUUAAUUAGAACUGGCCAACUCACAUUUAAAAUAUAUAUUUAAAUGUUUUAAUAAUAUAAAAUUCAAAAUAAAAAAACACAAUAAUGAUAAAUAAUAAUAACAUUUGAUAAUUAUCUAUAUCUAUAUCUCUCUCUCUCUCUCUCUCUCUCUCUAUAUAUAUAUAUAUAUAUAUAUAUAUAUAUAUAUAUAUAUAUAUAUGUAUACACAUUUAUAUGUGUAGUACAUACAUACGUGUGGACAUAUACACAUUUACGCACGUAGAAAUUUUAAUUUUUAAACACUCCUCAAUUUUUGUAUAUAAAAAUUAAUACUAUGAAAAGGGUUGCAAACAAAACACAAAAAAAAAAUGUCGAUUAUUCAAACAAAAAUAAGAAAAAAGAAAACAGACGGAAAACGAGUGAUGAUGAAUAUGUAAAGAAUAAAGAAUUUAGGCGAUAUAAAACAAAACAAGAUUUUAAUAAAUAUAAAGAAGAUGGUGAUGGUGAUGGUAGCGAUAGUGAUAGUAAUAGUGAUAGUAAUAGUGAUAAUGAAGAAAAAACUGAUAAUAGUGAUAAUAGUAGCUACUCAAAUAAAGUUCGCAAUAAUAAUAAAAAGAAAAAAAAAACAAUGAAUAAUAAAAGAAGAAGUGUUUCACUAGUAUCUACCUAUAAAAAAGAUAUUAUAAAUAAUAUAAAAUUAGCUAACCAAAUUUAUAAACUUGCAGUUGACAAUAAAAGUAAUGAUGACUCGUCAGAUAAUACUUACAAAAAUGAAAAGAAAAAUGAAAAGAGAAAUGUAAGGAAAAUUGAUUUGAGAAAUAAAAAUAAAAAAAAUAGAAGAAGUAUAAGCUGUGGUAAUUGUAACUCAGAUUCUGAUAAUAUGAAUACAAAAAAUAAAAAAGUAGAUAUAAAUAUAAACGAAAUUCAAACUAAAUACAAAAAUAAAAAUAUUAAAAUUAUAUAUGAUGGUGAACAAGCAAAACAAAUUAUUGUUAAAAAAAAAAAAAAAAAAGACAGUAAUAAUAGGGAAGGAGGAAACAAUCGAACAAAAUAUGAAGAUCCAUUGCAGUUGAGUGACACUGAUAGCAGUUGUGUCAGUUAUGAUAGCUAUGAUAGUUAUGAAGAAAAAUCAGAAAAAAGUGAAAGUAAUUUUAGUAGUAUUUAUAGUGGAAGUGACUAUAGUGAUAAUAACUAUGGUCAACACAAUAAAAGUGAUGGAAGUUUUUAUAAAAGAAAAAUAAACAAACAAAAAGAAACAAAUGAUAAGAGAAAAGAAAUUAAAUAUAAAAAUUUAAAAAGUAAAAAAAAAGAAAAAAGAAAAAUAAAACGAGAAAGAACGAAAAAAAGUUUUAAAAAUGAGUUUAAUACUUUAAGUGAUAGCUAUUGUGAAAAGACGCGAAAUAUAAAUUAUAAAAAAAUGAAACGAACAUAUUCAAGUGAUAAACAAAUUGGUAAAAAAAGUGGUCGUUAUCGUAACGAAUCUUGGUAUGACUUUGAAAAUGAAGAUAAAGAAAGAGAACGGACGAAAGAAAGGGAAUUGUGGAUGAAGAAAAGAGAUGAGUGGAAAAGGGAAAAAGAAAGAGAAAGAGAAAGAGAAAGAGAAAGACAAAAGGAAAGAGAAAAAGAAAGGGAAAAGGAAAGAGAAAGAGAAAUGAAAGAAGAAUGGGAAAUAGAAAGGGAAAGAGAAAGAAAAAAAGAGAGGGAAAGAGAAGAAUGGGAAAAAAUAAAAAAGGAGAGGGAAAGNNNNNNNNNNAUGGGAAAAAAUAAAAAAGGAGAGGGAAAGAGAAGAAUGGGAAAAAAAGAGAGAAAUAGAAGAGUGGGAGAGAGAAAAAAAAGAAUGGGAAAUGACAAAAGCAAGAAAAGAAAAUGAAAGAGGAGAGGAAAGAAAAUCGAAAGAAUUCGAAAAACAUAAGUUAUAUUAUAAUAGGAAUGAAAGUAUAUAUAGUGAUGGUAAAACAAAAGAUAGUAUGAAUUUGUUAAAUGAUUUAAAAAGGGAUUCUAUAAGUUCAGGUUUAUUACAAUAUAAAAAAUAUAAUGACAGAUCGAAUGAAUCAAAUAAAGACUUUAUUUUUAAUAUAAAUAAUAUAAUU
rnacentral:lncRNA from 1 species